rnacentral:rRNA from 1 species
AGCGAACGCUGGCGGCAGGCCUAACACAUGCAAGUCGAGCGCUGUAGCAAUACGGAGCGGCAGACGGGAGAGUAACACGUGGGAACGUACCCUUUGGUUCGGAACAACCCAGGGAAACUUGGGCUAAUACCGGAUAAGCCCUUACGGGGAAAGAUUCAUCGCCGAAGGAUCGGCCCGCGUCUGAUUAGCUAGUUGGUGGGGUAAUGGCCCACCAAGGCGACGAUCAGUAGCUGGUCUGAGAGGAUGAUCAGCCUCACUGGGACUGAGACACGGCCCAGACUCCUACGGGAGGCAGCAGUGGGGAAUAUUGGACAAUGGGCGCAAGCCUGAUCCAGCCAUGCCGCGUGGGUGAUGAAGGCCCUAGGGUUGUAAAGCCCUUUCGGCGGGGAAGAUAAUGACGGUACCCGCAGAAGAAGCCCCGGCUAACUUCGUGCCAGCAGCCGCAGUAAGAC